CACACUGCUGCUGCUGCCAGAGCAGCGAGAGGCGAGCUGAAAACAUUCCCCCAUUGAUGGACACUGAAGAUACAAGCUCCACUCUCUCUAUUUCUCUAUUGCAGACACAUGCUUGAGAGCAACAACAACAGCAGCAGCAGUGAGCUCUGUGACCGGAGUAGCAGCAGCCUUAGAAACCCUCGCUGUAGCAUCAGUAGCGACCAGCGGACGCACGCCGAGCGGACCGCCGCCAGCAGGAAACCUUCCUCGCCUCGUUACCCAGAGACAGCAGCUCCGAGAUGGGCUGCUCCUCCGGCCGCCAGCCCCCGGCCCCGGUCCUCCACCCAGACUUGGUCUGCGGCAACAACAGCGAGGCCAACAGCUUACCCCAGGACUCUGAGAACCAGAACCAGGGUUUGAAUGGGGAAGGACGGGUCGGGAGAGAGCCGGCCAUCCCUCCAGAGACCCUCCCCACGCUGGAGAGGCUGGCCCAGGCCACCGGCGGCACGGAGAAGUCCUGGUACCGCUGCGUCUUCCCCUUCGGCGUGAUCUCCCUGGUGAUCGGCAUGGCGGGCACCGGGGUGACGUUCACCUUCAACACGCUGCUGCAGACCAAAGUGGUGUCGGUGGCGCUGCUGUGUGCCGGCGUGGUGAUGCUGCUGGUGGCGGCGGUCUGCUGGAGGGCCCACAGGCUGAGGAGGAGGAAGAAGAAGGAAGGGGGGUUCUUCACGGCGGAUCAGGGAACUUUGUGAUGAUGGACUCUAGUUCUAGUAGUCAGCACUUCAACAAGUUGGACUUUCUGAAUGAAAUAAGAAGAAUGUGAUGUAGGGACAUCCAUGCUUUUCUUCUAUGCACUUGGACAAAGUGAUAAAGACAGUAGAAGCUUGAAUAAUACUGGAAACGUUGUGUUUUCUGUGUGCGUUCAGAAAAGGCCAGUUUAGCAUCAUCACAUCGUGAGCAGACACACAGGCCCUAUUUUGUGUUAUCAGGCACAAAGGUCAACACUUUUUCUUGCUGCCACCAAGCUUUGUAGUGGAAAACCAGGAUCCAGCUGUGCAGGAUCAAUGAAAAGCACCACUCCGUGAAGUCUUAAGCUUUAGAGGUAAUAGCCUGCAUUUUCAGUCCCAGCUAAGGAAAUUGCUCUCCCAGCACUGUUGGACAUGUCAUAGAUGACUUAUACACUGUAUGACAAGGGAAUCCCAGUCCAGACAUGCUCCAGUGAGCCCACAUCAACAAAGACAAAGCCUACAAUAGCCUGAUUAGUCUGGUCCUGCUGAGCCAAUCAGAGACAACACCGCUGGACGUUUAGGUUGAGGGGAAAAUCAAUUCCUUUCUUUUUUUCCCUCUGCUCUCACACUCUCCAAGGAGAUUUCCACAGUUGUUUAUAUAGGUGAAUGGAUAUGAGAAAUGGGCAUUAAGUUAAUUCUUCCCUGUGAAGGAGAAGGUUUAACUUGUCAUUCCUCAUGGAUCAGCUAAGCUCUAUGACAGAAUGGUAGCUCUUGUAAAAACCGUCUUAAUGCCUUCGUCCUGGAUAUUGUGAUUUCUUGAACACCUCCACGAGACUCACAUGGCUUUAAAGUCAGAUGGUUUUAAACCAACAAGCUAUCAGAUGCUUCUUUGUACAUUUUUGCUUAAAAGAAGAGCAAAAUCUUAGUUGUGGGUCCCAACUGUAGCACUGUGUUCCCCACAGUACCGAUGCUAGAUAAUGACGUGUUGUUGAGGAAGACCCAGCAGCUUCCUGUCAGCUGUAGCGCUCUAAUUCUAUUUGAUGGAUCAUAUUUCAUUUCUAUCUAUUUGAUAAAAUGUUAACUGGACAUCAGAUGUGGUUACAUUUUAUUUAAUCUUUUUGCAUGGAGUUGCGAUUACUGUUAUCAUGUGGAUCAGCAGCUGUAGAAAUGUGUGUGUGUGUGUGUGUGUGUGUGUGUGUGUGUGUGUGCACCAAAGCUACACUUAAAGGAAUGGUUUGGAUUUUUUCCAUGUGGGGUUGUUUGAGGUACUAAUCCAUGUUGAGUGUCUCCAGUGGAUGCUCUUAGUUUGGAGAGCAGGCAGGAGGAUGGAAAUUAAGUCAACUAAAGUAAUAUUUAUCAUGUUAAUUGUCCACUAUAUGGAGGAUGCCAUAAAACAGCCC